rnacentral:rRNA from 1 species
UACGGAGGGUGCGAGCGUUGUCCGGAAUCACUGGGCGUAAAGGGCGCGUAGGUGGCAAGUUAAGCGUGCGGUGAAAGCCCGGGGCUCAACCCCGGGUCGGCCGUGCGAACUGGCUCGCUCGAGCACUGUAGAGGCAGGUGGAAUUCCGGGUGUAGCGGUGGAAUGCGUAGAGAUCCGGACGAACACCGGUGGCGAAGGCGGCCUGCUGGGCAGUUGCUGACACUGAGGCGCGACAGCGUGGGGAGCAAAC